UACGAAGGGGGCUAGCGUUGCUCGGAAUUACUGGGCGUAAAGGGCGCGUAGGCGGCUCUGUUAGUCAGGCGUGAAAUUCCUGGGCUCAACCUGGGGACUGCGCUUGAUACGGCGGAGCUAGAGGAUGGAAGAGGCUCACGGAAUUCCCAGUGUAGAGGUGAAAUUCGUAGAUAUUGGGAAGAACACCGGUGGCGAAGGCGGCGAGCUGGUCCAUUACUGACGCUGAGGCGCGACAGCGUGGGGAGCAAACAGG
rnacentral:rRNA from 1 species